UGGGGAAUUUUGGACAAUGGGCGCAAGCCUGAUCCAGCCAUGCCGCGUGCGGGAAGAAGGCCUUCGGGUUGUAAACCGCUUUUGUCAGGGAAGAAACGCUCUGGGCUAAUACCCUGGGGUAAUGACGGUACCUGAAGAAUAAGCACCGGCUAACUACGUGCCAGCAGCCGCGGUAAUACGUAGGGUGCAAGCGUUAAUCGGAAUUACUGGGCGUAAAGCGUGCGCAGGCGGUUAUGCAAGACAGAUGUGAAAUCCCCGGGCUCAACCUGGGAACUGCAUUUGUGACUGUAUAGCUAGAGUACGGUAGAGGGGGAUGGAAUUCCGCGUGUAGCAGUGAAAUGCGUAGAUAUGCGGAGGAACACCGAUGGCGAAGGCAAUCCCCUGGACCUGUACUGACGCUCAUGCACGAAAGCGUGGGGAGCAAACAGGAUUAGAUACCCGGGUAGUCCCUGAGCGGGCUGGCAAGGCGCAU
rnacentral:rRNA from 1 species